UUCUACUAUCUUUCUUGAAAGGUCUUCUGGAGCUUAAGAGCUCAUAUGUGAUUUGACAUUGUAACAUUCUGAAUUUUUGAAAUUUCUCAAAAUUGAUUUUUCUUCUUAGAAAUAGAAAGUAGAGGUCGCCACGAGUUUUCCGUAUUUUUCGAUGAAUUUUUCGAGUUCCCGAGCUAUUUUUAGCGAUUUUUCGAAGUUAUGUUCAAAAGAUAAGAAUUACUGACGUGACAAGCUCGGAUUGGAUGAGAGAGUGACAUGUGGCAAGUGGAGAGGAGACCAGCUGACGCUGAUGUCAGCAAUAAGUAUUAGUCAUCAGCCAUGUUGCAAGUGGUGGCCAAGUGGGGUGGCACUCUUUGAAGUUGACACGUGGCAUCUUUGCCACCAAUGGCAAUGUGACAUGUGGCUACUUUUGUCUCUAUAAUAGAGACCAGUCCUCUUUCCUUCCGCAUCAGAUCAGAUUUUGAGAGACUCUCUUUCUCCUCACUUUCUCUCUCAUCCGUUUUUCUCUCUCCAGAAUUAGUUUUACGAUUAAAAUUCGGUGGAUCAUAACUUUUGAUUUGUAACUCCGAUUUUAAAUCCGCGAAAGGCUACGGGUUUGUCUCGAUGUUCUCUUCCUAUCUUAGAGGUUUGAGCUAGAUCCAACGGUGAUUCUAGAUGACUGGUUUUAGGAGGCUCGGUUUACGAUCGGUACACGUGGUGGGAUCUCGAUACUAUCGAGGUGAGUGGAUUUGUGUAAUAUGUUUAAAAUAUUCUUAUUUGUUAUCAAAAUAGUCGAAAAACAUGAUUUUGAUCUUUUAUGAAAUAUCUCUCUAUUUUUAUAGUGAAGCAUGUCGAUUUGCGAAAUAUGUAGGGUUUAUAUAUAAUUAUGUGUUGGAUCUAUUGUUUGACUAGUCAUGGAACAUGUGAACUUCUUGAUUGGUUAUGCCGAAGUAAGGAUGUGACACACGGAGGUAUAGGACUUGAAGGUCAUUUGGUUCUCGUGGGGAUCACUAAAUUGAAGGAUAUCCAAUAAGAAGGAAUUGUACGAUGUGGUGAAUUGCUUGAUGUGAUGUGUAUACGAUAUACGUAUUUUGUAGCGUGUGUAAAAUGACAUGCCUUUGCAGGCAUAUUGCAUUGGUAUACUCACUGAGCGCGUGAUUAUGCUCACCCACCCAUCUCUAAUAUUUUUUUGCAGAGAAGUACUUAGAUUUGACCGAGCCGGGAAAGGGUAGCCGACGAGCCUAGAAGAUAGUGUUUUUGUUUAUUUCUGCUUUGUAACACUCGUUUACGCUUCGGGAUCGGCUUCCGGCGCUUAAAACCCGCCAACGCCGGGACCGGGGUGUGACAGACAUUUUCAAUUCAUCAAGCUUCUCAACAAAGGAUUUGGAUUCAGACCAAAUAUCAUCCAAAACCAACAGCAAAAGAUUUGUGUGCUUUACAAAUUCUCGCAGCCAGUUGACUGCAUUUACUUCAGUUUGGAAAUCAGGUACCUGAGAACCCUUGCAUUGAGAAAGCUCUUGUACAAUCAGGUUUAAGUUGGGCUUCUUUGAUACAGUUACAAAGAAGAUAUUGUUCUUGGACUUGUCUCGCAAUUCUGCAUCUUGACAAAACUUAGUUGCCAAUGUAGUUUUCCCGCACCCCCUGGAGCAGUGAGCAUAAGCAUUGAUACUCCAUAUCCUUAAGAAACUUUAGCUUCAAUUCUUUCGAAGGCCUGCUUGUCCAUUAAAAGUUGUUGCCAUGACGUUUCGUGGUGUAAAAACCAGUUAGUGGGGGUGAGCUAUUAUAACUUAUUAUCUACUGUGAUGUUGUUAUUUCAAAUUUUUCUAUCUUGAGAUGUUUACUUUGUAGUUGCAGCAUGGUUUUGGCCACCUAAAGAUUUUGGAUUAUUAAAGCAUAGCAAAGGGAAUGCUCCAGCCUUAUGAGCAUUGGCUUUCCAUUGAAGUGGUCUAUGAAGUUGAGGAACCAAGACUAGAAUCAUGGGAAAAGAGUUCAUAAUUGCAAACUUGCUAUUAGUCUAGAGAAAAUUUAGGCGGCUGAUAGAGUCAACCUAGCUUUGCACUAGAAACUUGCUGAUAAUACACUUACACGUCUUCUGUGAAUUGAGGCUUGUUAAAGUUUUGAUGUUUAAAAUAUUGGUGUUGCAUUGUUGCUUAUAUCUUGGAUGAAUUUGAG
rnacentral:lncRNA from 1 species